UACUCCUCACACGCGCGCCCCUCCUCCGCCGACCCCAGCCCCCGCGCCCCUCCUCCGUCGCCCCGCGCUCGGCGCCGCCGCUCUCGCCCUGGACCCGCGCUCCUCCGGCCCGCCGACCCGCGCGCCCCUCCUUCUCCGGUCCGGCCCGCGCUCUUCUCUCUGCCGGCCAGCGCUCCGCCAGCUCGGCGCCGCGCCCUGGUCCGCGCUCCUCCAGCCCCUGCGCCACCGAGCCGCGCGCCCCUCCUUCUCCGUCGCCACCGCUUCGCCGCUGCUUCAUCGCCGCAACGACACGACCGGAGCAGAAAGCGGCAACGGUGGACGAUGCUCUUGCACACCCGCCUACGUAGGCGUCACCGCGUCAGGCCGUCAGCGCGGUGCCCCAAGGAGCGGCUCCCGCGGAGGCGACAUCCAGGCGGCCAGGCCCCAAGGUAGCGGCCGGGGGCGCUUCCCCAAGAAACAGAGCUGGCAUAUGCGCGGCACAGGCGGCGGCGGCGGCGGCGUUCGCUAGUCUCAAUUAGGUGGAUUCUCGAGGAGAAUCCCAGUGUGCAUUACUUCCAUUUUUUGGACAGCAGCUUGGAAGGGCGCUGGCAGCACAUGUGGAUGGUCCACGCCAUUGGCUGCCGGCAACAAGGCCAAGCAAGGUGGCCAACUCGACACACUCUAGCUUUACCUACAAGGAAUUGCAAGAACGACUGUCUUGCGAGCAAUGAAAAGUCAUCACACAACCACGUUUCCUGCAUUGCUUGCAAUGUGUUUGGUAAAAUCUGUAUACUCUAACUCGUCACCCAGUGCAUCGUUACGGUUUGGAGCUUUGUAACUUUUCUAAAGGUUACAUAAUUCCUUUUAUUUUAGUACGCUAAAAUCAAUCUAUCCAUCAUAUUUGUUUGCCAAACCUAAAUAUUCUGCCAUCAGAACAGGUGUGAGUACGGGCAUGUGCUUGUCCAUUUGAAGGUGAUAUUACCUCUUAUCUGUCAGCUCUGUUGUGGUGUCAGAAAGCAAAGAUUCAACAUACUAAGUGAUGUGUUCUUGAUUCUGAAAUUACAGUCUUACAUGCAAGUAGCUCUACACAUUUUGUUGAUCACUGAAGAAUCAUUCUACACAUUUCGUUACAGCAAUCUGUAGCUGCAGAUGAAGACAAGCGAUGAUGCUUGUGUGCUGACGCAGGCUGCACUUUCCUUUUUGUGGACAAAUUGGAGAUAUAAUCUUCAGAGAUGAAAAGUAGAUCAAGGCAUCAAGACCAUGAAGAAAGGAAAAAUAAGAAAAGGAAAAAAAAGGGGGGCAAAGCUUACAAUGUCAAUCCCGAAAGAGAGAUGUUCAGAGUCAUGCGGUGCUUACCCAACAGGAGGCUCUGGAAGCAUACUUGGUGGCUCUGUUCAAGGAAACAAAACUGUGCGUCAUCCACACCAACUGCCCAAGGGCAUUCAGAUGUCUAGGUGGAUCAACGUGAGAGGGCUUAGGUUCUCAGCUAUCCUAUCCUAGGAUAUUAAGGAUCCAAAUGAUGCUAUGAAAUUAAUCUGUAUAAAUGAUGUACUCUCUUGGUCAAAUCUUUAUUCUCUGGACUGUUUAGACUUUCACGUCCAUGGAUUCAGUAAUAUGACAUGAUUUGCUCUUGUACCGUACCCAAAACAAAUCCACUUUGUCAAUACCCUUUCAGAA